AAACAUUGGCAACGUUACAUUUUUGGGCUAGCUAAAUUAGCUAACUACUCUGGCGACCCUCUGCUUCCUGCCAGACUAUCUGCCACGAACCACAUUGCAAGCUAAAAGCCAGAUGGAAAUGAAUAGACUGGAAGCUAAUCAGGCGCCAUGUCUCCUCCUCAGAUAGAAAUAGUCCCCAUCUCAUCUAGACCAUAGAACAUCAGUGUGAGACAUCCAUCCACCAGACCAGAGGAGACAUGGCCUUCCAUCCACCAGACCAGAGGAGACAUGGCCUUCCAUCCACCAGACCAGAGGAGACAUGGCGCUCCAUCCACCAGACCAGAGGAGACAUGGCCUUCCAUCCACCAUACCAGAGGAGACAUGGCCCUCCAUCCACCAGACCAGAGGAGACAUGGCCUUCCAUCCACCAGACCAGAGGAGACAUGGCCUUUCAUCCACCAGACCAGAGGAGAUCUGACUCCUUCUCCAAUACACACUGGACAUCUAUUAAGUGGCAUGGCAUCUGAUUGACCUUUUUUUGGAGAGUGACCGGUUUUGAAAUGGGUGAGGGUGUUGCUUGUCCCUUCUUGAGGAUUGUGGGGGAUUUGCAGUGAGUAAGUGAUCAGAGUACAAGACAGGUGGUGAAUGUAGGCUUUGGAAACAGCUGUAUAAUCACAGGCUGAACACAGAGACAGAGGAUAGUAAUAAUAGGUACUAUAAGGAAGUGAAGCCACUCAACCGUGCUGUUGAACAGGUCAUGUCCUUCUACCUUCCACACACACACACACACACACACACACACACACACACACACACACACACACACACACACACACACACACACACACACACACACACACACACACACACACACACACACACACACACACACACACAAAGUGGCCAUUCACCACUUCCAUGAAUACAGCUACUUGACCUCCACUGAAAGGGUCAACAAUUGCUUUGAUCUGAGGUGAUCUGAGGGGUGACUUCCAGGCUUAUUCCCUGCCUGCAUGAGCCUUAAUUGAUAUUUUCCACUGACUAUGGCUACACAGUGGUCAGGCCUUCACAGGAACCUCCAGGGAGAUGUAUGGGGUGUGAUGUCUGAGAAGAGGUUUCAGGACCCGCUCUACAGACCUCGUUUUGAGCCCGCCUGGUUGUUUGCAAAUCAUUAUGUUCGAGUAUCAAUGCAAUGCAUCCAGUCAGCUGGUGAAAAGAGAGCUAUCUACUUUGAGGGAUCUAGUACUGAAACAUAAAGGAUCUAGUACUGAAACAUAAAGGCUCUAGUACUGAAAUAUAAAGGAUCUAGUACUGAAACAUAAAGGAUUUAGUACUGAAACAUAAAGGAUCUAGUACUGAAACAUAAAGGAUCUAGUACCAAAACAUAAAGGGAACUUUUAGCUCGGGGAACUCUCAAAGUCAAUCCCUUCCCUCUCUCUCUCCUCUUCAAUGAAUGGAAUCCUCUGACUUUCAACAUGCUAUACCCAAAGAGCAACAAGACACUAUUGUUGCUGUUCUCUGUGGGGGUUUUCUUGUUCUCCACUUGUAUAGUCCCCCUCUUCUUCCCCCAGUUCUACAUUAUUGAACCUUGACCUGUCCAUUCUAAUCACCAGUCUCUCUUCUCUAGUACAACCAAUGAUUACAUCUUAAAACACACCUU